rnacentral:rRNA from 1 species
AAACAAACCACAUCACUUAACGAUGGAUCUCUUGGCUCAGAGUACGAUGAAGAACGGCGCGAAAUCCGAUACGUAAUGCGAACUGCAGGAUUCAGCGAAUCAUCAAAUCUUUGAACGCAUAUUGCACCUAUACUUCGGUAUAGGUAUGCGUGGUUCAGUCUUUGUAAACAAAUUUCAAACACCUUAGGGUGUUAUGGAAAACGUCGGUAAGGUAGGCAGCUAUCUUUCCGAUUAGUUUGAUCAAAGUCAUGCUCUUGAUCACCUCUCUGGGUAGUUACUUGGAGUAGGAGGUUUGAGAAAUUGAAUUAAGGUCAACAUAAAGUUUAUCACUUAAGCUGAGCUCACGUAAGAAUACCCGCCGAAUUUAAACAUAUUAUUAAGCGGAGGAAAAGAAAAUAACUAUGAUUCCCUUAGUAGUGGCGAAUGAACAGGGAUCAGUUCAAGCCUUUAAUCCUGCACUUUAGUGCUAGGAGUUGUGGUCUUCUGUCUUAAUCCGUGUCGUCAUCUCGGCUAGAUCUUGUUGAAAUAUAGCGUCAUAGAGGGUUAUAACCCCGUCCGCUGAGAUAGUGUGCACAAGCGAUUGGACAAGGUAGAGUCGUGCUACUUGGGACUGUAGCACUAAUCAGGUGGUAAUAUCCAUCUAAAACUAAAUAUUACUCUGAGACCGAUAGCGAACAAGUACCGUGAGGGAAAGAUGAAAAGGAAUUUGAAAAGAAUGUGAAAAGUACGUGAAAUCGUUAGGUGAAAGCGAAUAGCAUACCUUUGACGUGUACCUUCUGUUUGCAACGUUGUUGAGUUCAUACAUGUAUGUCUCUUCUUCACGCAUUCGGUUGGUAGAGGUUUGAUUGCUGUUUUUCCUGCGUAGUUGUGUUCCGUUUUCCUUGAUUGUUCGCAAAAUGUGGCAGUCUUGGCUUAUUGUUCCUGCUGCGUUCGUUUCAGCGUCUAGACGUCAUCAUGGUGUUGUUAUCCGACCCGUCUUGAAACACGGACCAAGGAGUCUAACGUAUGUGCGAGUCUUUGAGUUGUAAACUCUUCGGCAUAGAGAAAUCGAAUUGUUAUUAACACUUUGGUGUUCCAUAACGGCUGUUUUGAUUCUUUGGAUGACGACCGCUCGCUUGAGCAUGUAUGUUGGGACCCGAAAGAUGGUGAACUAUGCUUGUGCAGGUUGAAGGCAGGAGAAAUUCUGCUGGAGGACCGCAGAGAUACUGACGUGCAAAUCGUUCUUCAGACAUGAGUAUAGGGGCGAAAGACUAAUCGAACCAUCUAGUAGCUGGUUCCCUCCGAAGUUUCCCUCAGGAUAGCUGGAACUCGUAUGAGCCACGUGAGGUAAAGCGAAUGAUUGGAGGACUUGGGUUUGAAACAUUCUCUGCCUACUCUCAAACUUUAAAUGUGCGUGAACAUCUGAUUGCUUAAUUGAAUCGGGUUGUAGGGUCUAGAGUUCUUAGUCGGCCAUUUUUGGUAAGCAGAACUGGCGAUGCGGGAUGCUCCGGAAGCUGGGUUAAGGUGCCUAAAUAUUCGCUCAUUCAGAUACCAUGAAAGGUGUUGGUUGAUUUAGACAGCAGGACGGUGGUCAUGGAAGUCGAAAUCCGCUAAGGAGUGUGUAACAACUCACCUGCCGAAUCAAGUAGCCCUGAAAAUGGAUGGCGCUCAAGCGAAUUACCGAUACUCAGCCAUCUGUGCUUUUGUGAUGCAUAGAUGAGUAGGAGGGCGUGACGGUGGUGCCGAAGGUGUGGCGGUGACGUCCACUUGAACCACCGUUAGUGCAGAUCUUGGUGUUAGUAGCAAAUAUUCAAAUGAAAACUUUGAAGACCGAAGUGGAGAAAGGUUUCACGUGAAGUUUAAUGCGACGUGAGUGACCCAGUCCUAAUCGUCUCCUGAAAUGGUUUGAACGGCACUUAUGUGCUAUUACGAGAAAGGGAAUCCGGUUAAUAUUCCGGAGGUGCAAUCAAGUUGCUUAGUGGUAACACAGUAGAACUGGGUGACGCCAGCGAGGGCCCUGGAAAGAGUUUUCUUUUCUUUUUAACAAAUUGCGCAACUAUGGAAUGGGAUUAUCCCGAGAGGUAGUUGUGUGUUUGGCAAAGCAGACGACCUUCUCGUUUGUCCGGUGCGCUCUCGAUGGUCCUUGAAAAGCCUGGGGAUUAUAUGCAACGGAGUUGUAGCUGUACUCAUAACCGCAUCAGGUCUCCAAGGUGAAUAGCCUCUGGUCGAUGUGAUAAUGUAGGUAAGGGAAGUCGGCAAAUUAGGUCUGUAACUUCGGGAAAAGGACUGGCUCUUAGGACAGGGUGUAUGAGGCUUCCUGUUAAAUCGUUCGGGCGUUGAAGUUUGGCUAACUCCUAACGGGGUAGGCCGAAUGGCAACGACUGUCCGAGGAAACUGGAAGAUGCUUCGGCGAUCUCUGCACGCUUAACUGUUAACUGAGAACUGGCGCGGACAAGGGGAAUCCGACUGUUUAAUUAAAACAAAGCAUUCUGAUGGUCGGAAACGAUGUUGACAGAAUGUGAUUUCUGCCCAGUGCUCUGAAUGUCAAAGUGAUGAAAUUCAAUUAAGCGCGGGUAAACGGCGGGAGUAACUAUGACUCUCUUAAGGUAGCCAAAUGCCUCGUCAUCUAAUUAGUGACGCGCAUGAAUGGAUUAACGAGAUUCCCACUGUCCCUACCUACUACACAGUGAAACCACAGCCAAGGGAACGGGCUUGGGUGU